UACGGGGGGGGUAAGCGUUAUCCGGAAUUAUUGGGCGUAAAGGGCGCGUAGGCGGCCAUUCAAGUGACGGGUGAAAGCCCUCGGCUUAACCGAGGAACUGCCUGUCAGACUGGAUGGCUUGAGACCGGGAGAGGUGAGUGGAAUUCCCAGUGUAGCGGUGAAAUGCGUAGAUAUUGGGAGGAACACCAGUGGCGAAGGCGGCUCACUGGACCGGAACUGACGCUGAGGCGCGAAAGCGUGGGGAGCAAACAGG
rnacentral:rRNA from 1 species